GGGUUGUGAGGUUAAGCGACUAAGCGUACACGGUGGAUGCCCUGGCAGUCAGAGGCGAUGAAGGACGUGCUAAUCUGCGAUAAGCGUCGGUAAGGUGAUAUGAACCGUUAUAACCGGCGAUUUCCGAAUGGGGAAACCCAGUGUGUUUCGACACACUAUCAUUAACUGAAUCCAUAGGUUAAUGAGGCGAACCGGGGGAACUGAAACAUCUAAGUACCCCGAGGAAAAGAAAUCAACCGAGAUUCCCCCAGUAGCGGCGAGCGAACGGGGAGCAGCCCAGAGCCUGAAUCAGUGUGUGUGUUAGUGGAAGCGUCUGGAAAGGCGCGCGAUACAGGGUGACAGCCCCGUACACAAAAAUGCACAUGCUGUGAGCUCGAUGAGUAGGGCGGGACACGUGGUAUCCUGUCUGAAUAUGGGGGGACCAUCCUCCAAGGCUAAAUACUCCUGACUGACCGAUAGUGAACCAGUACCGUGAGGGAAAGGCGAAAAGAACCCCGGCGAGGGGAGUGAAAAAGAACCUGAAACCGUGUACGUACAAGCAGUGGGAGCCUCUUUAUGGGGUGACUGCGUACCUUUUGUAUAAUGGGUCAGCGACUUAUAUUCUGUAGCAAGGUUAACCGAAUAGGGGAGCCGAAGGGAAACCGAGUCUUAACUGGGCGUUAAGUUGCAGGGUAUAGACCCGAAACCCGGUGAUCUAGCCAUGGGCAGGUUGAAGGUUGGGUAACACUAACUGGAGGACCGAACCGACUAAUGUUGAAAAAUUAGCGGAUGACUUGUGGCUGGGGGUGAAAGGCCAAUCAAACCGGGAGAUAGCUGGUUCUCCCCGAAAGCUAUUUAGGUAGCGCCUCGUGAAUUCAUCUCCGGGGGUAGAGCACUGUUUCGGCAAGGGGGUCAUCCCGACUUACCAACCCGAUGCAAACUGCGAAUACCGGAGAAUGUUAUCACGGGAGACACACGGCGGGUGCUAACGUCCGUCGUGAAGAGGGAAACAACCCAGACCGCCAGCUAAGGUCCCAAAGUCAUGGUUAAGUGGGAAACGAUGUGGGAAGGCCCAGACAGCCAGGAUGUUGGCUUAGAAGCAGCCAUCAUUUAAAGAAAGCGUAAUAGCUCACUGGUCGAGUCGGCCUGCGCGGAAGAUGUAACGGGGCUAAACCAUGCACCGAAGCUGCGGCAGCGACACUAUGUGUUGUUGGGUAGGGGAGCGUUCUGUAAGCCUGUGAAGGUGUGCUGUGAGGUAUGCUGGAGGUAUCAGAAGUGCGAAUGCUGACAUAAGUAACGAUAAAGCGGGUGAAAAGCCCGCUCGCCGGAAGACCAAGGGUUCCUGUCCAACGUUAAUCGGGGCAGGGUGAGUCGACCCCUAAGGCGAGGCCGAAAGGCGUAGUCGAUGGGAAACAGGUUAAUAUUCCUGUACUUGGUGUUACUGCGAAGGGGGGACGGAGAAGGCUAUGUUGGCCGGGCGACGGUUGUCCCGGUUUAAGCGUGUAGGCUGGUUUUCCAGGCAAAUCCGGAAAAUCAAGGCUGAGGCGUGAUGACGAGGCACUACGGUGCUGAAGUAACAAAUGCCCUGCUUCCAGGAAAAGCCUCUAAGCAUCAGGUAACAUCAAAUCGUACCCCAAACCGACACAGGUGGUCAGGUAGAGAAUACCAAGGCGCUUGAGAGAACUCGGGUGAAGGAACUAGGCAAAAUGGUGCCGUAACUUCGGGAGAAGGCACGCUGAUAUGUAGGUGAAGCGACUUGCUCGUGGAGCUGAAAUCAGUCGAAGAUACCAGCUGGCUGCAACUGUUUAUUAAAAACACAGCACUGUGCAAACACGAAAGUGGACGUAUACGGUGUGACGCCUGCCCGGUGCCGGAAGGUUAAUUGAUGGGGUCAGCGCAAGCGAAGCUCUUGAUCGAAGCCCCGGUAAACGGCGGCCGUAACUAUAACGGUCCUAAGGUAGCGAAAUUCCUUGUCGGGUAAGUUCCGACCUGCACGAAUGGCGUAAUGAUGGCCAGGCUGUCUCCACCCGAGACUCAGUGAAAUUGAACUCGCUGUGAAGAUGCAGUGUACCCGCGGCAAGACGGAAAGACCCCGUGAACCUUUACUAUAGCUUGACACUGAACAUUGAGCCUUGAUGUGUAGGAUAGGUGGGAGGCUUUGAAGUGUGGACGCCAGUCUGCAUGGAGCCGACCUUGAAAUACCACCCUUUAAUGUUUGAUGUUCUAACGUUGACCCGUGAUCCGGGUUGCGGACAGUGUCUGGUGGGUAGUUUGACUGGGGCGGUCUCCUCCUAAAGAGUAACGGAGGAGCACGAAGGUUGGCUAAUCCUGGUCGGACAUCAGGAGGUUAGUGCAAUGGCAUAAGCCAGCUUGACUGCGAGCGUGACGGCGCGAGCAGGUGCGAAAGCAGGUCAUAGUGAUCCGGUGGUUCUGAAUGGAAGGGCCAUCGCUCAACGGAUAAAAGGUACUCCGGGGAUAACAGGCUGAUACCGCCCAAGAGUUCAUAUCGACGGCGGUGUUUGGCACCUCGAUGUCGGCUCAUCACAUCCUGGGGCUGAAGUAGGUCCCAAGGGUAUGGCUGUUCGCCAUUUAAAGUGGUACGCGAGCUGGGUUUAGAACGUCGUGAGACAGUUCGGUCCCUAUCUGCCGUGGGCGCUGGAGAACUGAGGGGGGCUGCUCCUAGUACGAGAGGACCGGAGUGGACGCAUCACUGGUGUUCGGGUUGUCAUGCCAAUGGCACUGCCCGGUAGCUAAAUGCGGAAGAGAUAAGUGCUGAAAGCAUCUAAGCACGAAACUUGCCCCGAGAUGAGUUCUCCCUGACCCUUUAAGGGUCCUGAAGGAACGUUGAAGACGACGACGUUGAUAGGCCGGGUGUGUAAGCGCAGCGAUGCGUUGAGCUAACCGGUACUAAUGAACCGUGAGGCUUAACCUUACAACGCCGAAGCUGUU
rnacentral:rRNA from 2 species